UUGCCUGAAUCGUUCCCUUUUCCAGAAAGUCACCGGCUACUCCCUACCAGCAGCCSGCGCUAUUACUUAUGUGCAAUAAUUAUCCGGAAUAUUGGCGUAAGCGCGCGGAGGCGGUUUUCUUAAAUUUGAUGUGAAAGACCCCGGCUCCCCCGGGGGAGGGUCUUUGUAGUUGGGAGACUUGAGUGCAGAAGAGGAGAGUGGAAUUCCAUGUGUAGCGGUGAAAUGCGCAGAGAUAUGGAGGACCACCAGUGGGGAAGAGGCUCUCUGGUCUGUAACUGACGCUGAGGUGCGAAAGCGUGGGGACCAAACAGGAUUAGAUACCCUGGUAGUCCACCCGUAAACGAUGAGUGCUAAGUGUUGGGGGGGUUUCCGCCCCUCAGUGCUGCAGAUAACGCAUUAAGCACUCCGCCUGGGGAGUACGGUCGCAAAACUGAAACUCAAAGGAAUUGACGGGGAGCCGCACAAGCGGUGGAGCAUGUGGUUUAAUUUGAAGCAACGCGAAGAACCUUACCAAAUCUUGACAUCCUUUGACAACUCUAGAGAUAGAGCUUUUCCCUUCGGGGGACAAAGUGACAGGUGGUGCAUGGUUGUCGUCAGCUCGUGUCGUGAGAUGUUGGGUUAAGUCCCGCAACGAGCGCAACCCUUAUCUUUAGUUGCCAUCAUUAGGUUGGGCACUCUAGAGAGACUGCCGGUGACAAACCGGAGGAAGGUGGGGAUGACGUCAAAUCAUCAUGCCCCUUAUGAUUUGGGCUACACACGUGCUACAAUGGAUGGUACAAAGGGCAGCAAAACCGCGAGGUCAAGCAAAUCCCAUAAAACCAUUCUCAGUUCGGAUUGUAGUCUGCAACUCGACUACAUGAAGCUGGAAUCGCUAGUAAUCGUAGAUCAGCAUGCUACGGUGAAUACGUUCCCGGGUCUUGUACACACCGCCCGUCACACCACGAGAGUUUGUAACACCCGAAGCCGGUGGAGUAACCUUUUAGGAGCUAGCCGCGAAAGGGGA
rnacentral:rRNA from 1 species